GAUACCUGUGUUGGCUAAAGUACUCUCUGAUGGCACCGAGGUUAGUAUUUCUUUCUCUUAGCUUUUGUUUUAAGCUUUACUCUUGAGUUUGGGUGGGUUUGACAUUUAUUUUCUUCAUCAACUCCUAGAUAUGUAGUUUUUAACAAGAAGUGCAUUCUUUUGAACUCCUUAAUGCACUUGAUUUGCAGAGUAUGAAUUCACAAUAGCAAAUUUUGGCCAUUUUAUCUAUCACUAUAAUGAGAGUGAG
rnacentral:misc_RNA from 1 species